GACGAACGCUGGCGGCGUGCCUAAUACAUGCAAGUUGAGCGCUGAAGGUUGGUACUUGUACCAACUGGAUGAGCAGCGAACGGGUGAGUAACGCGUGGGGAAUCUGCCUUUGAGCGGGGGACAACAUUUGGAAACGAAUGCUAAUACCGCAUAAAAACUUUAAACACAAGUUUUAAGUUUGAAAGAUGCAGUUGCAUCACUCAAAGAUGAUCCCGCGUUGUAUUAGCUAGUUGGUGAGGUAAAGGCUCACCAAGGCGAUGAUACAUAGCCGACCUGAGAGGGUGAUCGGCCACAUUGGGACUGAGACACGGCCCAAACUCCUACGGGAGGCAGCAGUAGGGAAUCUUCGGCAAUGGACGAAAGUCUGACCGAGCAACGCCGCGUGAGUGAAGAAGGUUUUCGGAUCGUAAAACUCGGUUGGUAGAGAAGAACGUUGGUGAGAGUGGAAAGCUCAUCAAGUGACGGUAACUACCCAGAAAGGGACGGCUAACUACGUG
rnacentral:rRNA from 1 species